rnacentral:rRNA from 1 species
AUUGAACGCUGGCGGCAGGCCUAACACAUGCAAGUCGAGCGGUAGCACAGAGAGCUUGCUCUCGGGUGACGAGCGGCGGGCGGGUGAGUAAUGUCUGGGAAACUGCCUGAUGGAGGGGGAUAACUACUGGAAACGGUAGCUAAUACCGCAUAACGUCGCAAGACCAAAGUAGGGGACCUUCGGGCCUCAUGCCAUCAGAUGUGCCCAGAUGGGAUUAGCUAGUAGGUGGGGUAACGGCUCACCUAGGCGACGAUCCCUAGCUGGUCUGAGAGGAUGACCAGCCACACUGGAACUGAGACACGGUCCAGACUCCUACGGGAGGCAGCAGUGGGGAAUAUUGCACAAGGGGCGCAAGCCUGAUGCAGCCAUGCCGCGUGUGUGAAGAAGGCCUUCGGGUUGUAAAGCACUUUCAGCGGGGAGGAAGGCGAUAAGGUUAAUAACCUUGUCGAUUGACGUUACCCGCAGAAGAAGCACCGGCUAACUCCGUGCCAGCCGCCGCCGUAAAAC